UCAACAGUUCAAUUUGUGCAGUAUUCUAGGAAUGUGUAUGAAUCAGUUCAUUUAUUAAUUUAUCAAUUUUCAAUGUUAGCAUUAGGUGUAGUGUACAUAAAAUCUGAUUAAUAUUUUAACCAAAACAUAAGUCACUAAAAUUAUUGGCUCUAAAGUUAUGCAAUAUGUCAAAAAAAACAAUUUAAAGAAAAUGAACCUUAUUUUUUGCUGACUUAUAAAAACUUUCGAAUGAAAACAAUUUAUUUCGUCCAAUUUCAUGGCCACGUUUACAAUUUUAAUUUUUAAAACAGCAAUAAAACGCAGUCUUGGUUAUUAUUAUAUUAUUAUUAUUACUUUGAUUACGUUUUCUAGUGAAAAACAACCUGAAAGUUGUAUAAUGAUUUAAAAAUCGCAUGAAAAAGUAGCGUGAAUGUUUACCAAAAUUGAUAAUAAUUACGAAAUGUACUUAAAUCUUUAAUUAAUUAAAUAUUUAGCGAAAUCUCGUUAAAUUUAAUAAAAAAAGGCUUUCACAUUACACUUAACAGAAUUCAACCUUUCCCACUCAAUCGGUAUAUUGCAGAAAGUAUGUUCAAAGCGACAGUAAUGAGUGAAAGCGGAAGUGAAACAAGGUUGAUUUUUGGAAUAAUCCCAGAUCGAAUUGUCCUUGUGUCGCACGAGACAGCAAAAUUGUAAUUAAUCUGAUUUCGAUUCUUCCUGGUGUCUUGAAAUCGCUUUACAAAUUUAAUUUAUUCAUCGAAAAAAGUAGGCAUUUCAAAAAUUUGCAAUUCCUGUAAUGACUUCAACACCGUUAUUUUCUCCUUGUAAAAUUUGUACAUGUACUGAUUAAUUCUUUACAAAUCAAUUGGGACUAUUAGCGUUUUUAGCAGUAAAUUAAUGCCAUUUUUUAAAAUAUUUCAAAUUUUUUUCAACACGUUUAGUUUCUAAUCUGCAUAUUUCAUAAAGUUUGAAAAAUUUUUUUUUAAAAUCACUCGUCGUCGCGAUAAACGUAGAUAAAAACAUGUUUGCAUUUUUGAAAGCAAAAAUGUGAAAUAAUUAAGGCUAACUUCCUCCUUGGAAAAUUCAGAUGGUGUUUACUAUUCCCAGUUUAAACGCUUUCUUCCCAUGUCAACUUUUUCCUAAAAAAUGGUAAACUUAUCAAAAAGCUUGUAGUUUUGUGCCAACAGCUUAUUUUUUAAAAGCCUUGAGUUGUAAUUUAAAUUAGUAGGUUUGAGUGACUGGUUAUCAGAAGUAACAAUUCGUAUGAAUAAUUAGGGUUGCCAACAUGUCGUAAAUAUAAUGAUCUGCAAAUACAUAACAUUUGUGACAUUAAUGUUUGCCUUGUACAGUACACGCAAAAAAUUUAUGAGCAAAAUGUUAAUAAAUUAUUCUCAAAUUCAGUUUCAAAUGCUUUCUUUCCACACGCAGGCAGAGUAAAAGCACGUGCCAACUUUCUCCGUUGGGAAAUAAAUGAAUUUGAUAACAAAAAUUAGACAAUUAGAUGUCUAACUUAUAAAUUAUUUGAGUUACAAAAUAAAUUUAAAAUAUGCCUACAAUAGAAGCUAGAUUCGAAAGAGUUGUAAACAGAUAAAGGUAUAAUUCAUAACCAGUAAUAAUCUAUUACCAGAAUGGUGAAAAAGAAGUACAAAACUGGGAAUGAUUUACCUACAUAAACUUUGUCGUCUUCCAAAGUGCUAAAAUCAGUGUCAACUUUUUCGUUGAAAUGUUUAUAAAAUUUGAAUUUAAUAUCUUUUAAUGUUUAAGCUGUACGCCAAAAUUUGUAUUUUUCUACAAAAUGAACAGCUUAAAAUAAAACAGAUUUUUUUGUUUCCCCUUCAUGCAUUGCUCCAUUCUUGCGUAUUUUUGCACGCCACGCGUCUGUUUCUAUCCUUAGGACCAAUAGUACCAGUAAAAUAUUAUCUGUAGUAAAAUACUACCAAACCGCUUACAAAUUAUUUUUAGCAAACUAUCAUGAAUUAACAGUGACAGUGUCCUAAAAGUUUUCAUAAAUCAACGAAUUUUUUUGCCGCUGAAAAUGUUUAUCAAAAUAGUAAAAAACACUCCUCAACUAUAAUUUCCUACACUAAACUGAACACAAAAAUUAAUUCUUUCCACAAAUUUGUAAGGCAAAAUUAAGGAAAUUUUAGCCUAACCAAACCACCGUUGAGAAAAUUGUAAUUAAAAUCUUCGUAAAAUGCUUAGAUUUCACGCCAAAAUUUGAUUUUUAUAAAAUAUUUUAAUCGAUUCGUUACUUAGGUUUGUAUUAUUCAUAUGACGUAAAUCUUAAGAGACGGGUGAAGUUAGUAAUUUGCAAUCCUUGCUUAUGUAACAUGGAUUGAAGUAUUAUGGGAUUUAUAUUUAUUUCUUACUACAAAACAGUAAUGCUCGUUAUGACCUAAAGGUUGAGUUAUAUACAAUCCAUGUGGUAAUAAUUUAUAACCAGUUAUUUCAAUUUCUAGAACAAAUACUUCUCUUUUAUCAGAACGAAUAGUUUGAUCAAUUUCUAAGUGUACUUGCAAUCAUAUGUGAGAACAAUUUGAAAUCGUGAAGUGACUAAUUCUAUACAAUUUGGAGUGUGUCUUACCUAAUUUCUAAUACUAUAUUUUUCCAGCAUGCUGAAUAUGUGUUGGCACAUAGGGAUAAAAAAACAAGAAAUUUAGUAGAAGAUAAUUUAAGUAUUUUGACAAAAAAUAAAACAAGGUAUAUUUUGUCACGUAGUUGAACCUGGAUAAUAUUAAGUUAAUAUUGUUUAAACAUUAUGUACAAUGUCGGCGUAUAACUGAAACAUUUUUAUUUAAUGAGAGUUCAAUGAGAUGGAAAACUAUGUCUCCCUCCCAAUUUCCCUCCCAAUUGUUUUUUAUAUCGUUAAAAAAAAUAAAUUUGUCAUAAAUUCGUGGAAUUGGUUUCAUUAUUUUAAAUUUUGUGAAUUUUCCAACAAGAAAGUUGUCUUCUAUUAGAAAUCCAAAGGUUUUCUUAAAUAGAUUUCCACAACAGAUUGCUAAGGGCUUUAUAAGAUAAUGUAUAAUAAUUUGUUUCACAUUUAACAAUUAAUUUCCACCUGCUAUAAAUUGGUUUCAUUUGUGUAUGCACGAAUCUAAAAUAAUCUGAACUAUUAAUUUGUAUCAUAAUUUUAAACAAAACUGAAUUUGAUGUAAAAUCUUGACAUUUAUUAGCUUGUUGUUAGAUUUUUCUUUAUUCUUUUGAACGCGACAGCUGACACAACAUGAAAUUCUGAAAAAAACUAUUCCAACCUUAAUUACUUUGCUAUACUGGAUUUUUACGGGGUGACAAUUAGACUUUUAACCUCUCAAGUUAUCCAAGCCUUUAAAAAUACAACAUCACCUUAAAAAUCUUGUCAUAUUUAUCGGUCUCUAAUCUUUCGUUACAGGUUUGUUAAUAAUUUCGCAACAGUUUUUAUUAGUCCGUAUUUCCAUAAAAUACUUCAUAUCAUAUUCAAAUAUUGUUUGAGUCCACUGGAAAAUAAAACAAUAUAGAAAAAUGUUUAUGUUUCACGUCAGAAUUUUGGUUUUGAAAGAGUUUCAGUGGAAAUUAAUAUUUCAGAUCGUAGGAAAUUGAAUAGAAAAAAAAUUGGUAAAUAAAAAUUGAUCUUAAUAAAUUAUUCUAAAUUUCAGUUUUUACCGUAUGUUCUCGUAACGCAAGUUUUACCUCUGGAGAGGUAAAGGUAAAGGUAUCUCUGGAAAGGAAAGGUAAAAAAACUCUACGCGAGCCGCGUAGAGUUGUUUUUAGCAAAACUAUAAAAAUAAACGGACAGAGAUAAAAUAUAAGAUAACUUUUUUCCUCUGAAAAAUAAAGGAUUUUUUUUAAUAAUUGUUUUAUUUGACGCCAUAUUAUUGCUGUAGAAAUUUUUGCAGAUUUCAAAAGUGAAAGAAAAAGAUAUUUGCAGCAAUAUGUAGGUUUGAAACCCAAAAAAGAAAUAAUUCGUAACCGGUAUUAAUCAAAAAUUAACGUUAAUUUAACUUAAUGUUAACAAAUUAAUGUUAAUUAAUUAAAUUAAUGACCGUUAUGCACACACGUGGUUUUAACGGUCUUUUCAUCCUAUCCCACAAUGUAUCUUACUUUUCAUCCCUUUUUCACAUCCUUUUUUCCCAUUCCCUCACAAUUCACCGACAUGUAAACACAUCGCCGUCCUGAAGAAGAAUUUGGACCCUUCAAGUAUUAAAGUGAUCCCUCUCCUACUACAUUUUUUCCUUAAUCAAAAAUUGAUGGUUACGUAGUGUGGAAAACUAGCUCGCUGAAAAAUAAAGAAAAUUAUUUAUCAAAUAUUGAAAAAUGUUUAGAUUUUACGAAAAAAAUUUUCGAAAAUGGUUUACCCGAAUAUUUAUUUCGAUUUCGAAAAUUAUCAAAACUCUGGAAGUUUUGUUCUUCCAAUGUUAUAAGCAUUCAUUCGGGCAAAAAGGCAUCAAAAAGGCAAAAAGGCACACAAAAAGGCAAAAAGGCACACAAAAAGGCAAAAGGGCAUUGAAAAAGGCAAAAAGGCAAAAAGGCAUCGAAAAAAAGCAAAAAGGCAGCCUUUUUGCACACACUGGCCAGUUGUACUUAAUUUCCAACUUAGGUUAGCUUCUUUAAUCGUUUGUAAAAUUGUGCAGCUUUAAAGCCUAAUGUUGCAAUAUUGGAAAUUUGAGGAUAAUUGAAAACUAGUAGAUGACGUACAGUACCUCCCGUAAGUUUGAUAAAAUUUUGAUAUCUCUCUCAUAGGUUGUGAUAGAAAUUUGAAACUUUGUAGAAUGAAAGUCCAGAAAGAUUGAGGUUGGAUGCCGCUACAGAUUCUGAAAUUGGGGUUUAUCAAAACGUGAGAACGUUUUGUUCGAACGUUUUGACAAACCCACUUUGUUUUGUUAUUUACGAGUAUUGCUGUUGAAAUCUGUGCAUGAAUUUUUCUAAUUUGUCUAAAAUUUCGAGUUUUGCAAAAAGUGCAAAUUUUAGGUUUACUUUUGAUACACACAUAUUGAAGAAAUGUGGGCCAAUCAUUUGAUUGGCAAUAAUUUGAUAAUGAUGAAGGGAUACAUUGUUCGCUGAGGUUAAGGGUUUCAAAUUAUUCUAAAAUGAAUUAACGUGUACAAUAUUUCGACACGUGCGUUAACUUCCUACACAGUGAGAAAUAUGUUUAACUUUUCGAAAAGUAAAAAAUGACACAACUCGAAAUGAUGUAAAACUGAUGUCAUAUAAAAUAUUUAGCGUAACCCGCAAUUUGAGUAAAAAAAUAUUAUACCCUACAUUUGGAAAACGACGAAUCAUAACCCCAUACAUAGGAUAUUUUACUUCACGCAAAAGUGUGGUACCCGACAUCGACCAAGAUUUACCCCACAUAGCCGAUUUUACUAAAUAUGAAGUAGAAAUUGAAAUGCGCGGCCAAUCUGUGUGGCUUUAUUUUUGUUUCUUUGGUCUAGUCAGUCAGUAGUCGGGAGACCAGCACAAUUCACAUAUUUAUUUAUUUCAUCCGAAAUAUUUUCAUAUAAAUUAAAGUGAACUACCCUGGAAUAAAUAAGUAGUAUGGUUUCGACACAACUUGGGCUGGAAGAGGUGGUUUCCUAAUUUGAAGAGAUCAAGAUUAAGGACUAGGCACUUCACUUAUUGGAAAGGACGCUAUUGAAAAACUGAUUCCCCUCGGUCAUCAACUAAAUUUUGGAUUUUCCUUCAAUAUAAUUAUGAUUGUUUAUAUUUUAAUAAGAUCAUUAAUAAAAAUUAAAAAAUUAUGGAUGCAUAAUAUAGAGUAAAAUUUUUUACUGCAUAUAAUCGAAUCGAAACUAUAUGGGGUAUAUAACUACCCCAGCAAAGGGUUACAGAUGCUUCAUAUACAGUACAACUUGCCCCAGUGGUACCCUGCGCAGUGUUCUUCUGGUUGCCACAUGCAGGGUUAGCGUGGUGCCAGAUCGGGUAAAGUGCAUAACCCCGUGCUCCAUUUCUUGGGUUUCACCCGAUGUAGGGUCGGAUCACUUUCUGCCCCACACCAAGUUAUUUUUUACCCUAUCUAAUGUAUUUACUUUUUACUGUGUAUGCAUAUUUUCAGCGAAAACAAUUUCAAAAGUGUUUCGGAUUUACGGCAAGAGUUAUUUUUUAAGAGGAGUAUACGUGCUUGAUAAAUAAUUAGAUUAACAACUUGACGGAUAAAUUGAAUUUUGAAAGAGUAAGCAGGAAGGGAUAAACAAAAUAGUAAAAAUUAUGGGUAUUUUAAUUUUUUAAACUAUUUUAGCACUCGUGUGAAUUUGCAACGUGUGUAGAAGUAGAGUUAUAAUAUAUCAGUUUUACAAGGUUUUCAAAGAACCAAAUUCACUAAAUUUAUUAAUACGCACUUAGCAAAAUUAACUUAUUUAUUCUUCCGUGUUACAUUUAAUUGCAAAAAUUACAAAUCGUAAUUUACAACAAGGCGACGAGUAAUUGACACACCUUCGUGUUGGUUACAAAAUUCUGCUUUGGCAACAAAAGUCCAGAACUUUUUUUUCAAAAUACAUCAUAAAAAUUCAUAACAUGCAAAUAUGUCGAAAAACCUUAGAUAUUUAGACUAGUUCGAAAAUUGUCAAUAUAAAUUCCAAAUUUCAGUCGUGGAAUAACUAAAGCGGGAAAAUCGAUUAUUUUCCCGAUUUGGUCAUAUUUAUUCCAAAUGCGAUCUGUAAAUUGGAUGCAGUAGACAAAGGUUAAAUAUUAACAAGGCGACGUUUUGGAUACGAAUCUUCGUGUGGUAAACAAACUUUCGUAUAGUUGACUAACCUAGGUAAACAAUUUAUAAUACAAUUCAUCACACAGCAAUCAAAUAUUAUUUGUAAAUUUAAUUAAUGUCAUUUUUUCCACAAUUAUUAUUGAGCAAAAAUGUUGACUAAAUUUGUAACGCAAUCUAUUUGCGAAACAAAUAUAGAUGCAACUUGUCUGAACGUAAUGUAACCAUAUUUGUUAAUUCUUUCAUUUACAAUACAAUUAGUCUACCCAGAAACAAAUAUCAUUUACAUCAAAUCCCUGUAUGCAAAAAAACUAUCUUACACAUAUUGUUUCGUAAUUCAUUAAAAAUAUACAAAAAUUAAAUGACAAUCGUGACUAAACUAAUACAGCGCAAAUAGCAGCGUAAUUUCGCAAAUUUGUCCAAUUUGUCACAUAGUUGUCCAAAUUUGGCAAAGUAGGAUUAUUUUGCUCAAAACUAAUUCUAUGAAUGAUUUUGAGCCUAAUUUGUCCAGAAUUGGCCUCGUUUCGGUCACAAAUUAAAUGCCACAAAAUUGGCAAAAAUUCGCACAUUUUGGGCUGUAGCGCCUCCCCUGACCCCCCGCCAUAUCAAGAUUAUUCCGGAUUCUCGAUGUGCUCAAAAUUACGGAAAUUUUAAGCUAUCAUAGAGCAAAAUCGUAGGAAGAUGAAAAAACGGGGAGUUAAUCGUAUAGGUUUAUAUUAACUAAUACAGCGCAAAUAGCAGCGUAAUUUCGCAAAUUUGUCCAAUUUGUCACAUAGUUGUCCAAAUUUGGCAAAGUAGGAUUAUUUUGCUCAAAACUAAUUCUAUGAAUGAUUUUGAGCCUAAUUUGUCCAGAAUUGGCCUCGUUUCGGUCACAAAUUAAAUGCCACAAAAUUGGCAAAAAUUCGCACAUUUUGGGCUGUAGCGCCUCCCCUGACCCCCCGCCAUAUCAAGAUUAUUCCGGAUUCUCGAUGUGCUCAAAAUUACGGAAAUUUUAAGCUAUCAUAGAGCAAAAUCGUAGGAAGAUGAAAAAACGGGGAGUUAAUCGUAUAGGUUUAUAUUAACUAAUACAGCGCAAAUAGCAGCGUAAUUUCGCAAAUUUGUCCAAUUUGUCACAUAGUUGUCCAAAUUUGGCAAAGUAGGAUUAUUUUGCUCAAAACUAAUUCUAUGAAUGAUUUUGAGCCUAAUUUGUCCAGAAUUGGCCUCGUUUCGGUCACAAAUUAAAUGCCACAAAAUUGGCAAAAAUUCGCACAUUUUGGGCUGUAGCGCCUCCCCUGACCCCCCGCCAUAUCAAGAUUAUUCCGGAUUCUCGAUGUGCUCAAAAUUACGGAAAUUUUAAGCUAUCAUAGAGCAAAAUCGUAGGAAGAUGAAAAAACGGGGAGUUAAUCGUAUAGGUUUAUAUUAACAAAUAUUAACGCAAAAUAAUUCUAAAAAUUAUUUUUCGUGAUUUCCGAUGAAAUAGGGACGAGUUAUGCCAAAUGAAUUAAAUUUCUCACAAUUAGCAAAAUAUUCGCACAUUUUGGCUUGUAUCUCGAAAUCCACUGGGCUGCCCCCCCCCAAUAUUAUUGCAGAUUCUUUCUCUACUAAAAAAUACGAAAAUUUUAAGCCAUCAUACAUCAAAAUCGGCCGAGUGCUAAAAAAUCGCUUUUCAAUCGUAUAAACUGGUGCCAAAAUCAAGCCAAAAUCAAUUCAAUUGCUUAUUUCAACGUCAAAGGUAAUUAUUUUGAAAUAUUUUAACCUGAUUAACACAUAGGUUCCCCUUCUCGCUUCUGCUAAAUAAAUAAAAGUAAUUAAUUUGUAAAAUUUGGGUUUAAAUUUUUCCAUUAUACCCUCAUUUUUCAUAAUUUAGUUUUUCCACAAUGAAAAUGUACUUUAUAUCUGCACUGGAACCAAUUCAAGUCAUUAUAAUUUCUUGUUUUGACAAUGUUGCCAAGCAGAUAUAUUAUGUUUAAUUGAACAUGCGAAUUUCAUAUCGAUGGAGGAUUCAUGAAAUACAUGUAAAAAUUAAGGGGAAGAGUUGUACGAUUUUUUAAAUGGUUUUCACAAAUCCUUUAUGCUGGCAACAUGCUCAAAAUUAAGUUAUCGUGCAUACAAGAGUCAAUUGUAUAAGGCUAUCUUAAAACGCCUAAAAAUAGGAAUACUCACUGAUUAACUUAAAAAAGUAAAUUCAAUAAUUUCUAGAAAUUCAUAUAUCUGUAUUUUGGGUAUUAAAAAUGGAACUUUCCAAAAAAUUGUAUGUAUCCCAUUUCCAUAUAAAUACUAACAAAAUUUAUGUCAAAAGAUAUUACAUUUACAAAUCCAAUAAACUCCACUUUAUUCGUGAAAAAACAAACCUGAAACUAAGCCGCCCUUAAAUUGUAUGCAAUAUCAUCUCUUACUGAAGCCACACCAACACAAGCUAAGAGUCAUGGACAAUUCUGUGAAAAUUGAGGACCUCGUCGCCACUGCGAAUCCUGCGACUAAUGUCAUCAUCGCUAAUGGGGGGAUGUUUGAUGAAAUGAACGACGCCGUCAAUUAUUUCCUGGAGCCCGAAUACUGGGACUACGAAGAGGCUGAGGGACCGCUAUGCCACCUUUGUGGAGAAGGGAUUUUGGAUAAAUCCAACAUCCUAAUUUACAAUGGUACCACCUACACUAUAAUUUUCAAGGACGAUAUGAAAAGAGAUGAUUGGCGAAUUGGUACUUUACAAUGCGUAUACUGCAUGAAUUUUUAUCACAAAAACAGAUGUAAUAUAACUGUAUCUGAUUACUCAUAUUGGAAUAUCACUUCUUCUAAAAUUUGGGCUUGCCCUAAUUGUGUACCGAUUUUUAUUUGUGAGACGGGAAUGACAGACGUUGUUAAUUGUAAGAAUAUAAUCAAUUAUAACAAAUUAUUGCUCAAACUUGCUAAAUUACUAAACCCAUUAAGAUCGCAUUUUAAUGAUGUUACAACAACGAUCGAUUAUUUUAACUAUAGAUAUGAUUUGUUACAUAAAAUAUUUGAUAAUUUUGGCAUUGGAUAAGCUUUAUUGAUAUUUGAUUUGUUACUGUUUGGUUAUAACUCGGUUAUGUAUUUUGUCUGUCUUGUUGUUUAUCUGAAUUUCAAAUUUUACUUCGUAGAUUAAUUCUAUUUUAUUAUAUAUUUGUAUAAUUGAUGUGGUCACUUGUGGAAGAGCAUGGUUGUAUUACUGUGAACUUGUUAGACCCGAUAAAUAAAGCAUCAUCAAUCAAUCAAUCAAUAAAUCCAAGAUUACCUUUAAAGUUGUACAUGACAAGCGGUGAAAGUUAGCCUUGUGGACGACAAUGGUCGUGUUCUAUUUUGAUUCUUUGGGCUCACCCAGUCCCAUAAGAUUCCAUAAAAAAUUAUAAUAAAAAUCACAGAAUUCUCUUCAGUUCAUUCAUAUUUUUACUGUAAAUUAAAUUGAUUUGAUGUAAUGUAAAUGUAAAGUAUACAUAGCUAUGCAAACAAGUGUCGUACAGCUAUUUUUUAAGAUUUUUUUAUCACAAAGUAAAACAAAUCUGUUCCUCUCCCCGAAUUUAUUUACACUUCAAGCUCCCUUAUUUUUUCUGAUGGAAUUAAAAUAAUUGGUUACAUAAAUCCAAAAUUAUUUACAUAUAUUAAACGGAACGGAAUUUAACGGAACUUAGGAUCACACGAGUGAUUAAUUUUGUAUAAUUAAUACGUCAAAUUAUUUAAGGAGAACAUUUCUACCUGGUUGAUAUGAUGGAUUUCCUGAAAAAUAAAAAAUUACAAAUAAAUUAUACAAUUUACAAACACCUUUGCAGAAAUUUUUUUCUACAAAAACUCAUCAAAUUAGGUUAAAUCCUUGAAAUCUGAGAAAUAUCCUCUCCAUCGUCUUCGGCCCUACUUCUUUACACUGCAAACUCCUCAGAAUGCUUUUAUUUCAGUUUUUGAUGAAAUUUAAUUAAUAAAUGCUAAAUUACAUAGCUUUAAGCAAUAUCAGUAUUUUAAAUAAACGAUUUAAUUACAUAUGUUUUCAAUGGAAUUUAUGGAACUUUGGCUAAAAAAAAUUUUGCCACAAAGAGGUUUUCAUAAUUUGCUUAUUUUUGCGUCGGUUCACAUUUUUGCUGAAUAUCCAAUAUUAACUGUGACAAAACAGAUAGGGUUAUUCAGUACGAGUGUAAAAGUUUGACGACGAUUUUCUCGUGAUUUUUUAUGGUGACGGUGACCGUAGAAAUAAGGGCAGGCGGUGGUCACAAAUCGAUGUUGUUUCAGGUUAUUUAAUGUCACCAAUUCUUAUACUUUUACAAAUUUAGAGGAGUAGAGAGAGUUACAAUUCAUGGACGAGAGGACAAUGUUUGAGGUGCUUGUCUUUCCUCCGUCGUCGUGUUACUAAAAUUAUUUUUACCAACUUUUCACAUAUAUGGACCAGGUGGCCAUUACCAAGAAAACUCCCCACUUUCACAAACUCCAAUCACAAUGGGACAACACGACUGAAGUGGGAGUACAAUAGGAAUUAUUCUGGCCAAUUAGGAGAAAGGUUACACAAGUUCACACGGGUCAAACAGUCAAAUUUAAAGAUUAAAAACUUGGACAGAAACCCAAUUAGUGGCAGCCAGAAGGGGGACAGUAAAACUAAAAUUUACAUCCCUGCCGGGGUCUCAACAUACCUCACACAUAUAAAACACAUGUACAUAUCAUCAUCAUCAUGCAUGCAAGUCAAUAUUCAUAAAAUUAUCAAGUCAUUACAUAAAAUCCAUUAUCAUGUCGCAUAAAAUCAAAUAUCAUGUUAAAAUCCAUUGUGGUCAUAAAUUAAAAUAUCAUUUCUCGACGACAACGAGUAAUUUGAUUUAUUAAUUAAAUUACAUUUUUCUACGUGUUAGUGCACGAUGAAAAUUUUGGAAGAUUUUGGAACAAUUUGCAAAAUAUUGGAUUUUCUAGUGUCAUGUAUUCACACGAUUUCUGAAAUUUUCGAUUUUCUGAAUUUUCUACUCUAAAAUUUAUGAUACGCUUCUUUUGACUGACUACGUAAUACAUUUGUGAACAGCCAAAUCAUAAUUUGUUUCCUUCCCACGAUACAAUUGCAGUUCGGGAAUUAUUGAUUUUAAUAAUUAUUAAUUUUACAAUAAAUUGAAAUAUUUUUCUGUGCUUUGUAUUUUUUCUAAUAUAUUUCUGAGAAAAUACGCAAUGUUUUAAUUUACUGAACAAUCAUUUUUGUCAAACAUAAUGCAAAACCUGUGCUCAAUAAAACUACAUCAUAUUUCAAAAUUUAAAACCAACGACGUAUGUAUCAGUAUCCCAAAUAUUUUUUGUAUUAAAAAAUAUCAACGUUUCCAGUUAAUUUUAAAUUUUCACAAUCUUUGUAAACUUUUGGAAUUUGUAGGAUUUUUAAAUUUACGAAAUCGCGGAUUGCUUUAUUUGUUUGCAUAGGAAGGAUUUAUGUCAUAAUUUGUACGAUGGUGAAGUCAAUUUGGGAAAUUAUAAAAUUUCAAUUAUUAGAAUAAGUAAAAAGAUAUUGUUUGUUAGGUCAAUAAUUUCAACGAGUAAGCGAAUUUGUUUACUCAAAUAUUUGUAAAGUGUGUAAAAUUUCUAAAAUUUGUGCAAAUCCGAUUUGUUUAAAUCAUUUUUCUCGAAUUUUUGUUACCUGUACAUUCGAUUUUCCUUCGUAAUCUUACUUCAUUUAUUUCCAAAUAUUUGCUAAAUUUGCAAGCUUGCCAAAUCUACUACGGAUCGGAGUGAGUUAUUUCCUACCCUGGAACGAGCUUAUCCUCCUGCCGGGAUGGUAAAACAUUAAAUUUCUUCUUGAUAACGGUAAUUUCAUCGUCGGGAAGGCGUUGAGAGAGUGAAAAUAGCAAAAAUUGGACCUACUCAUGUAUGCAUUAUGUCCUAUUAUUAAUUUAUUACCAAGUUUGUAAUGAUUUUUUACUCCUUUGUAAAUUUUUAAUAGACCGAUUAUGAACAAUAAUUAAUCGUAAAAAUUUAAUGCCGUGGUAAAAAUCCGGAAUUUAAUUUGAAAAAAAAAUAAUACUUCAUGUAAUUAUCAUUAAGAUUAGCUUGUUCGAAAAUUAAAUCUUGGUUAUCAUAUAAAUUUUAUGAAACGUUUUAGUAAAUAAUUAUCAAAAUUUGAAAUCUCCCGACGUAAAAAAAAACACCCCUAAAAUUCUUACUGAUUGAAUAAUCUCAAUAAAUUAAUUAUGAUUAAAUUUUCAGCAUUAAUAAAUACUUUCGUGUCGAUGAGCAUUAUUUAUUCCAUUUAAUCUUACGAAUUUUUUUGCAAAUUUCUAGAAUCGGAUGGAAAAGUAUAAAGAACGAAGCCGUAACAAUUUAGAAAUACCUUCGUAUUGUUGCAAUUUUCUAUUAUAAUGUAAUUUUAGGAUUAUGGAUUAUAUCUGAAUAUUUUUAAAAGUUUAACAACCUAUGAGUGGUUUCUUCCUUCUUCUUCCCAAUAUGGUUGUAAACAUUGCCUGAGAUGGUGAACAUAGCUGUUAUCUAUAUCCAAAACCUUCUCUCCAUACUCGCAUAGGUCUGUUUAAUAUAUUUUCAUGCCACAACAAGUCAAAAAAUACAUUUGAGGCAAACUAUUCUAGAAUCACACUUGCCUCACAAAAUUCGCACACUUGCCCCACAUUUCUCGAAACUGUGGGGCAAGAGCGAGAAAAUUUUAAUUAAAUUUCGAAGCCACUACCAGAGCUAAUUUUUUUGGAUACGAUUUGUGCAGCUAAUGCUGAGUUAGUAUACAAAAAAUGGGAUAUUUUUAUCAUGUGGUUUCGAAGAAAUCAGAAUUACAAAAUAUGGGAAGAGAAUUCAUUUUGUUAAUUGAAAAUAUGCGAUUAGGAAAAUUGAUUUUGUGGCUGUUCUGGGGCAAUUUGAUAUCGAAACUUUUGAAGACAAUUACAAGGAGGACUCAGUUAACAAUGUCCACUGUUGUACUUGAUCACAAUUAUGGUGACAUCAAAGAUAUAAAUUAAGUUAAAGUGAUACCCUUCGCGCUCUUACCCCACAUUACCCUAUAUUGUUUUCGAGGAAAAAUAGUUCUCAUAUUUAUUGUCAAUUUUGUGCCAUUUUCCCGUAAAUUUGUGAUACAUAUAAAUUACGCAAAAAAAUUCAGAAACAAAUACAAUUAUUUGUAUAUUAAAUGCGUAUUUUUAACUACAUAAAUUUACUAAACUAAUUAGGACACACUAAUACCAAAGUUAGGGUUGCUGGAAAGAUGCUCUAGAUACAAAUAAUGGAUUGCAUGCUGUUUUAUUUUAUUUUGUUAAAAUAAACCAAUAAACCAAUUCUAAAAUAAGUAUAUAUACUGAUUUGAAUUGAAAUAAAGCAAUAUAUAAUUACCGCUAGUACACUAUUAAAACGGGUUACCGGUUGUACUCCAUAUAUUACUAUUUUACGUUGGUAAUAAAAUUGCUACCCAGUGAUAAUAAACUGUAACCGCACUUCAGAUAAAUGCAACCACACGAUGAUUAAUCAUUUGCACUCGAUAACACUUUUCUUAUCGAUACGGAAUAGUCGUAUAUAGAGUACAAUUGGUAACACGUUGGUACAACAGUUUUUUGAGUGCAGUUACUAUUUAUAAACAUGCCCAACUACUUGUGGACAUAUAAUACAUAUACAUAUGUAAUAAUCUUUGCAGCAUCCUCUUAUACAUAAGUUCCUUGACGGUGGUAAGUUUGGCUAUUUACAAUUUGGCAUGAUUCUUUUACCUGUUGGCUGCUGGAUCAUAAUUUUUUCUCAUAUUUAAUUAUGUUUAACAAUUUAUUGAAGACACUAUUUACUUUUACAUAUUAUUUUGGUUUGGUAUUUUAGGUUUUAUUGCCACUAAAUAUUUAUAAAUUAUAUAUAUCUAAUUGUCUCAACUAAUUAUUAAUUCGUAGGUGUGGAACCCCUGACACGGCGUAAAUAUCAACCCAUCGCAAUUCAACAGGCGUCAUCUUCAUCGCGCUCUCAUCCACCUCGUCAAGAUCAAAGUCAACCCAUGGUAUCUCAACCGGACGAAGGGACUGAUUAUGUAUAAAUUAUUUCGAAAAUAUUUUCAAAAAAUAUUUUUUGUCACCAAUUUCUUUCCAUGGUUACCUAUUUAUAAUUUAAAUUGAAAUAAAAAUCAGUCACAAAA